GGGUUGUGAGGUUAAGCGACUAAGCGUACACGGUGGAUGCCCUGGCAGUCAGAGGCGAUGAAGGGCGUGCUAAUCUGCGAUAAGCGCCGGUAAGGUGAUAUGAACCGUUAUAACCGGCGAUACCCGAAUGGGGAAACCCAGUGUGACUCGUCACACUAUCAUUAACUGAAUCCAUAGGUUAAUGAGGCGAACCGGGGGAACUGAAACAUCUAAGUACCCCGAGGAAAAGAAAUCAACCGAGAUUCCCCCAGUAGCGGCGAGCGAACGGGGAGGAGCCCAGAGCCUGAAUCAGCAUGUGUGUUAGUGGAAGCGUCUGGAAAGGCGCGCGAUACAGGGUGACAGCCCCGUACACAAAAGCGCAUGUGCUGUGAGCUCGAUGAGUAGGGCGGGACACGUGGUAUCCUGUCUGAAUAUGGGGGGACCAUCCUCCAAGGCUAAAUACUCCUGACUGACCGAUAGUGAACCAGUACCGUGAGGGAAAGGCGAAAAGAACCCCGGCGAGGGGAGUGAAAAAGAACCUGAAACCGUGUACGUACAAGCAGUGGGAGCGUGACUGCGUACCUUUUGUAUAAUGGGUCAGCGACUUAUAUUCUGUAGCAAGGUUAACCGAAUAGGGGAGCCGGAGGGAAACCGAGUCUUAAUUGGGCGUUAAGUUGCAGGGUAUAGACCCGAAACCCGGUGAUCUAGCCAUGGGCAGGUUGAAGGUUGGGUAACACUAACUGGAGGACCGAACCGACUAAUGUUGAAAAAUUAGCGGAUGACCUGUGGCUGGGGGUGAAAGGCCAAUCAAACCGGGAGAUAGCUGGUUCUCCCCGAAAGCUAUUUAGGUAGCGCCUCGUGAAUUCAUCUCCGGGGGUAGAGCACUGUUUCGGCUAGGGGGCCAUCCCGGCUUACCAACCCGAUGCAAACUGCGAAUACCGGAGAAUGUUAUCACGGGAGACACACGGCGGGUGCUAACGUCCGUCGUGAAGAGGGAAACAACCCAGACCGCCAGCUAAGGUCCCAAAGUCAUGGUUAAGUGGGAAACGAUGUGGGAAGGCCCAGACAGCCAGGAUGUUGGCUUAGAAGCAGCCAUCAUUUAAAGAAAGCGUAAUAGCUCACUGGUCGAGUCGGCCUGCGCGGAAGAUGUAACGGGGCUAAACCAUGCACCGAAGCUGCGGCAGCGACACUCAGGUGUUGUUGGGUAGGGGAGCGUUCUGUAAGCCUGCGAAGGUGGCCUGUGAGGGUUGCUGGAGGUAUCAGAAGUGCGAAUGCUGACAUAAGUAACGAUAAAGCGGGUGAAAAGCCCGCUCGCCGGAAGACCAAGGGUUCCUGUCCAACGUUAAUCGGGGCAGGGUGAGUCGACCCCUAAGGCGAGGCCGAAAGGCGUAGUCGAUGGGAAACGGGUUAAUAUUCCCGUACUUGGUGUUACUGCGAAGGGGGGACGGAGAAGGCUAUGUUGGCCGGGCGACGGUUGUCCCGGUUUAAGCGUGUAGGUGUGUGUUCCAGGUAAAUCCGGUUCACUUUAACACUGAGGCGUGAUGACGAGGCACUACGGUGCUGAAGCAACAAAUGCCCUGCUUCCAGGAAAAGCCUCUAAGCAUCAGGUAACAUCAAAUCGUACCCCAAACCGACACAGGUGGUCAGGUAGAGAAUACCAAGGCGCUUGAGAGAACUCGGGUGAAGGAACUAGGCAAAAUGGUGCCGUAACUUCGGGAGAAGGCACGCUGACACGUAGGUGAAGUGAUUUACUCAUGGAGCUGAAGUCAGUCGAAGAUACCAGCUGGCUGCAACUGUUUAUUAAAAACACAGCACUGUGCAAACACGAAAGUGGACGUAUACGGUGUGACGCCUGCCCGGUGCCGGAAGGUUAAUUGAUGGGGUCAGCGCAAGCGAAGCUCCUGAUCGAAGCCCCGGUAAACGGCGGCCGUAACUAUAACGGUCCUAAGGUAGCGAAAUUCCUUGUCGGGUAAGUUCCGACCUGCACGAAUGGCGUAAUGAUGGCCAGGCUGUCUCCACCCGAGACUCAGUGAAAUUGAACUCGCUGUGAAGAUGCAGUGUACCCGCGGCAAGACGGAAAGACCCCGUGAACCUUUACUAUAGCUUGACACUGAACAUUGAGCCUUGAUGUGUAGGAUAGGUGGGAGGCUUUGAAGUGUGGACGCCAGUCUGCAUGGAGCCGACCUUGAAAUACCACCCUUUAAUGUUUGAUGUUCUAACGUGGACCCGUAAUCCGGGUUGCGGACAGUGUCUGGUGGGUAGUUUGACUGGGGCGGUCUCCUCCUAAAGAGUAACGGAGGAGCACGAAGGUUGGCUAAUCCUGGUCGGACAUCAGGAGGUUAGUGCAAUGGCAUAAGCCAGCUUGACUGCGAGCGUGACGGCGCGAGCAGGUGCGAAAGCAGGUCAUAGUGAUCCGGUGGUUCUGAAUGGAAGGGCCAUCGCUCAACGGAUAAAAGGUACUCCGGGGAUAACAGGCUGAUACCGCCCAAGAGUUCAUAUCGACGGCGGUGUUUGGCACCUCGAUGUCGGCUCAUCACAUCCUGGGGCUGAAGUAGGUCCCAAGGGUAUGGCUGUUCGCCAUUUAAAGUGGUACGCGAGCUGGGUUUAGAACGUCGUGAGACAGUUCGGUCCCUAUCUGCCGUGGGCGCUGGAGAACUGAGGGGGGCUGCUCCUAGUACGAGAGGACCGGAGUGGACGCAUCACUGGUGUUCGGGUUGUCAUGCCAAUGGCACUGCCCGGUAGCUAAAUGCGGAAGAGAUAAGUGCUGAAAGCAUCUAAGCACGAAACUUGCCCCGAGAUGAGUUCUCCCUGAGACUUAGAGUCUCCUGAAGGAACGUUGAAGACGACGACGUUGAUAGGCCGGGUGUGUAAGCGCAGCGAUGCGUUGAGCUAACCGGUACUAAUGAACCGUGAGGCUUAACCUUACAACGCCGAAG
rnacentral:rRNA from 1 species